CACGUAGGGUGCGAGCGUUGUCCGGAAUUAUUGGGCGUAAAGAGCUCGUAGGCGGUGUGUCGCGUCGGCCGUGAAAACUUGCAGCUUAACUGUGGGCGUGCGGUCGAUACGGGCAUCACUGGAGUUCGGCAGGGGAGACUGGAAUUCCUGGUGUAGCAGUGAAAUGCGCAGAUAUCAGGAGGAACACCGGUGGCGAAGGCGGGUCUCUGGGCCGAUACUGACGCUGAGGAGCGAAAGCGUGGGGAGCGAACAGG
rnacentral:rRNA from 1 species